rnacentral:rRNA from 1 species
UGCCUUGGUUAACGAGGAGGAAGGUGGGGACGACGUCAAGUCAUCACGGCCUUUAUGUCCAGGGCCACACACGUGCUACAAUGGCCGGCACAAAGGGUUGCCAACCCGCGAGGGGGAGCCAAUCCCAAAAAUCCGGCCUCAGUUCGGAUUGCAGUCUGCAACUCGACUGCAUGAAGUCGGAAUCGCUAGUAAUCGCGAAUCAGCAGGUCGCGGUGAAUACGUUCCCGGGCCUU